GUCAGCUCCUCUGUUUUAGGAAGGAAGAAGACGAUUUCCUGGUCUAGAUUCAGAGACCCCUGGAUGACAACUCUGCUUACCCAGCACGGUAGUCAGUGGUAGGGGUGGCGGGAUUUAUAGUCGGUGGUGGAGGGGCGGUAUUUAUACAGUGUAUACAGUCAGUGGUAGGGGGGGCGGUAUUUAUACAGUCUGUAUACAGUCAGUGGUAGGGGUGGCGGUAUUUAUACACUGUGUAUACAGUCAGUGGUGGGGGUGGCGGUAUUUAUACACUGUAUACAGUCAGUGGUAGGGAUGGCGGUAUUUAUACAGUGUGUAUACAGUCAGUGGUAGGGGUGGCGGUAUUUAUACACUGUGUAUACAGUCAGUGGUAGGGGUGGCGGUAUUUAUACACUGUAUACAGUCAGUGGUAGGGGUGGCGGUAUUUAUACAGUGUGUAUACAGUCAGUGGUGGCGGUAUUUAUACACUGUUUAUACAGUCAGUGGUGGGGUGGCGGUAUUUAUACACUGUAUACAGUCAGUGGUGGGGAUGGCGGUAUUUAUACAGUGUAUACAGUCAGUGGUAGGGAUGGCGGUAUUUAUACAGUGUAUACAGUCAGUGGUAGGGGUGGCGGUAUUUAUACACUGUGUAUACAGUCAGUGGUAGGGGUGGCGGUAUUUAUACAGUGUAUACAGUCAGUGGUAGGGGUGGCGGUAUAUAUACACUGUAUACAGUCAGUGGUAGGGAUGGCGGUAUUUAUACAGUGUGUAUACAGUCAGUGGUGGGGGUGGCGGUAUUCAUACAGUGUAUACAGUCAGUGGUAGGGGUGGCGGUAUUUAUACACUGUGUAUACAGUCAGUGGUAGGGGUGGCGGUAUUUAUACAC